UGAACGCUGGCGGCGUGCUUAACACAUGCAAGUCGAACGAAGCACUUUUGACAGAUUCUUCGGAUGAUGGAUUUAGUGACUGAGUGGCGGACGGGUGAGUAACGCGUGGGUAACCUGCCUCAUACAGGGGGAUAACAGUUAGAAAUGACUGCUAAUACCGCAUAAGCGCACAGGACCGCAUGGUCUGGUGUGAAAAACUCCGGUGGUAUGAGAUGGACCCGCGUCUGAUUAGCUAGUUGGUGGGGUAACGGCCUACCAAGGCAACGAUCAGUAGCCGGCCUGAGAGGGUGAACGGCCACAUCGGGACUGAGACACGGCCCAAACUCCUACGGGAGGCAGCAGUGGGGAAUAUUGCACAAUGGGGGAAACCCUGAUGCAGCGACGCCGCGUGAGCGAUGAAGUAUUUCGGUAUGUAAAGCUCUAUCAGCAGGGAAGAAAAUGACGGUACCUGACUAAGAAGCACCGGCUAAAUACGUGCCAGCAGCCGCGGUAAUACGUAUGGUGCAAGCGUUAUCCGGAUUUACUGGGUGUAAAGGGAGCGUAGACGGCUGUGUAAGUCUGAUGUGAAAACCCGGGGCUCAACCCCGGGACUGCAUUGGAAACUAUGCAGCUAGAGUGUCGGAGAGGUAAGCGGAAUUCCUAGUGUAGCGGUGAAAUGCGUAGAUAUUAGGAGGAACACCAGUGGCGAAGGCGGCUUACUGGACGAUAACUGACGUUGAGGCUCGAAAGCGUGGGGAGCAAACAGGAUUAGAUACCCUGGUAGUCCACGCCGUAAACGAUGACUACUAGGUGUCGGGUAGCAAAGCUAUUCGGUGCCGCAGCAAACGCAAUAAGUAGUCCACCUGGGGAGUACGUUCGCAGAAUGAACUCAAAUGAAUUGACGG
rnacentral:rRNA from 1 species